UGCAGUCGAGCGGAACGAGUUAACUGAACCUUCGGGGAACGUUAACGGCGUCGAGCGGCGGACGGGUGAGUAAUGCCUGGGAAAUUGCCCUGAUGUGGGGGAUAACCAUUGGAAACGAUGGCUAAUACCGCAUAAUAGCUUCGGCUCAAAGAGGGGGACCUUCGGGCCUCUCGCGUCAGGAUAUGCCCAGGUGGGAUUAGCUAGUUGGUGAGGUAAUGGCUCACCAAGGCGACGAUCCCUAGCUGGUCUGAGAGGAUGAUCAGCCACACUGGAACUGAGACACGGUCCAGACUCCUACGGGAGGCAGCAGUGGGGAAUAUUGCACAAUGGGCGCAAGCCUGAUGCAGCCAUGCCGCGUGUAUGAAGAAGGCCUUCGGGUUGUAAAGUACUUUCAGCAGUGAGGAAGGCAGGUACGUUAAUAGCGUGCUUGUUUGACGUUAGCUGCAGAAGAAGCACCGGCUAACUCCGUGCCAGCAGCCGCGGUAAUACGGAGGGUGCGAGCGUUAAUCGGAAUUACUG
rnacentral:rRNA from 1 species